rnacentral:rRNA from 1 species
UGGGGAAUUUUCCGCAAUGGGCGAAAGCCUGACGGAGCAAGACCGCGUGGGGGAGGAAGGCUCUAGGGUUGUAAACCCCUUUUCUUUGGGAAGAAGAAAGUGACGGUACCAAAGGAAUCAGCCUCGGCUAACUCCGUGCCAGCAGCCGCGGUAAUACGGAGGAGGCAAGCGUUAUCCGGAAUGAUUGGGCGUAAAGCGUCCGUAGGUGGCCAUGUAAGUCUGCUGUCAAAACCCAGGGCUCAACUCUGGAGUGGCAGUGGAAACUACAAAGCUAGAGUCUGGUAGGGGCAAAGGGAAUUCCCGGCGUAGCGGUGAAAUGCGUAGAUUUCGGGAAGAACAUCGGUGGCGAAAGCGCUUUGCUAGACCAGAACUGACACUCAGGGACGAAAGCUAGGGGAGCGAAUGGGAUUAGAUACCCCCGUAGUCC